AGUGAACGCUGGCGGUAGGCCUAACACAUGCAAGUCGAACGGCAGCACAGGAGAGCUUGCUCUCUGGGUGGCGAGUGGCGGACGGGUGAGGAAUACAUCGGAAUCUACCUUUUCGUGGGGGAUAACGUAGGGAAACUUACGCUAAUACCGCAUACGACCUACGGGUGUAAGUGGGGGACCGCAAGGCCUCACGCGAUUAG
rnacentral:rRNA from 1 species